GUGCACCAGGCGAGAAACUUCACACUGUGCGAAAGCACGAUGAGGGAAUCCCAAGUGCUUGCACGUAAGUGUAAGCUGUUUCUCUGUCUAAAACGCAGAGAGAGUAAGGGCUGGGUAAGACGGGUGCCAGCCGCCGCGGUAAUACCUGCAGCUCAAGUGGUGACCGUUAUUAUUGGGCCUAAAACGUCCGUAGCCGGUUUAAUAAAUGCCUGGGUAAAUUGUGUAGCUUAACUAUACGAAUUCCGGGUAGACUGUUAAACUUGAGACCGGGAGAAGUUAGAGGUACUCCUGGGGUAGAGGUGAAAUUCUGUAAUCCUAGGGGGACCACCAGUGGCGAAGGCGUCUAACUAGAACGGGUCUGACGGUGAGGGACGAAGCCCUGGGGCGCAAACGGGAUUAGAUA
rnacentral:rRNA from 1 species